rnacentral:rRNA from 1 species
UACGUAGGGCGCAAGCGUUGUCCGGAAUUAUUGGGCGUAAAGAGCUCGUAGGUGGCUUGUCACGUCGGGUGUGAAAGCUUGGGGCUUAACCCCAGUCCUGCUUCCGAUACGGGUGGACUAGAGGUAGGUAGGGGAGAACGGAAUUCCUGGUGUAGCGGUGGAAUGCGUAGAGAUCCGGAAGAACACCGGUGGCGAAGGCGGCCUGCUGGGCAGUAGCUGACGCUGAUGCGCGACAGCGUGGGGAGCAACAGG